AGUGAACGCUGGCGGCGUGCCUAACACAUGCAAGUCGAACGCUGAUUGGAGAGCUUGCUCUUCAUGAUUAGUUGCGCACGGGUGAGUAACGCAUAGGUAAUGUGCCCCUUAGUCUGGGAUAGCCACUGGAAACGGUGAUUAAUACUAGAUACUCCUUCUUGUCUCAAGGCCAGUCGGGAAAGUUUUUCGCUAAGGGAUCAGCCUAUGUCCUAUCAGCUUGUUGGUAAGGUAACGGCUCACCAAGGCUAUGACGGGUAUAUGGUUUGAGAGGAUGAUCAGACACACUGGAACUGAGACACGGUCCAGACUCCUACGGGAGGCAGCAGUGAGGAAUAUUGCACAAUGGAGGAAACUCCGAUGCAGCAACGCCGCGUGGAGGAUGACGCAUUUCGGUGUGUAAACUCCUUUUAUUAGGGAAGAUUAUGACGGUACCUAAUGAAUAAGCACCGGCUAACUCCGUGCCAGCAGCCGCCGUAA
rnacentral:rRNA from 1 species